CCUGAUGCAGCAACGCCGCGUGAGGGAUGACGGCCUUCGGGUUGUAAACCUCUUUUAUUAGGGAAGAAGGGCUUCGGCUUGACGGUACCUGCACAAAAAGCACCGGCUAAAUACGUGCCAGCAGCCGCGGUAAUACGUAGGGUGCGAGCGUUGUCCGGAAUUAUUGGGCGUAAAGAGCUCGUAGGCGGUUUGUCACGUCUGCUGUGAAAUCCCAAGGCUCAACCUCGGGCCUGCUGUGGGUACGGACAGACUGGAAUGCGGUAGGGGAGAAUGGAAUUCCUGGUGUAUCGGUGGAAUGCGCAAAUAUCAAGAGGAACACAGAUGGCGAAGGCAGUUCACUGGGACGUAACUGACGCUGAGGAGCGAAAGCGUGGGGAGCGAACAGGAUUAGAUACCCUGGUAGUCCACGCCGUAAACGUUGGGCGCUAGAUGUGGGGACCUUUCCACGGUUUCCGUGUCGUAGCUAACGCAUUAGGCGCCCCGCCUGGGGAGUACGGCCGCAAGGCUAAAACUCAGAGGAAUUGACGGGGGCCCGCACAAGCGGCGGAGCAUGCGGAUUAAUUCGAUGCAACGCGAAGAACCUUACCAAGGCUUGACAUAACCGAAAACGCCUCAGAAAUGUG
rnacentral:rRNA from 1 species